UGACAUUCUUUCCACAGUCUGUGCCUGGCAACAAGCCCAGCUGCUAGCAAAUGUAUUUUCUGUAGAUCACCCUCCACACGCAAGCCUGUGGCCUUCCUACCCAAGGACUAUGCGUGAGACAAGAAUCCCCCAGGGACCUCCACUUUGGAAGCUCCUUCAUGGCCACAUUGAUGCUGGAAAGCAGAAGUUCGGGAGGUGCCCAACAAGCCGGGGAGGAGUUAAGCGACGGUGCCAUACAGAGCUCUGUCCCAGCUGCGACGCGGACUUGGGAGUAGAAGAAAGCUGUGUCACAGGGAGGGAUCGCCCCUCUCCCCACACUGGAGAGGGAGACCGGGGUGAGCGAGGUGAAGCGGGAGGAGGACAUGCACCUGCUCGACGAUGCUGGCAUGUGGAGACCUGCAGGAGCUGGGCUCGUGGAGCCACCUGGAGAAAGCUGGACACGCAGAGCACCAGGGCCUCGGUGGCCAUAGAGGCUGACAGCUCGGGCUGAGCUCCCUGCUCCCCUACCCAGGGGAGGGGACAGGAAGGCAAAGAGCCAAGGCAGCGCGUACCACGGACAAGAUGGGUACGGAGGACUUGGUGGUCAAGGCACAAAGGUCCACACCCGGAAACUGGGGACUGCACUGGAUCACAGAUCAAGGAGGCAGAGGGCAGGGGCUGGCACACUGCCCACCAGGGCCGGCUCCCAGGAGUGACUGAGCACAGCCCCUCCUCACCUGGAGCAGCAGCUCUGCCUGCUGCGUCCGGCACCUGGACUUGGCCAGGAGCAGGACCCUGCCCACCUGUGGAGCGGCUGCAGCCCAGGGCGAGGCUGCAAGCUGCUGGCUUCACAGCAACAGGCCCUUCCACCGCAGGACACAGAACUCAAAUGUGCCGCACGUUGCUUCAGAUUCUACAACGCAUUUCCUCUACAUCUGCCUGACUUUCAUGGUGAUAAGAUCGUUUUGGCAUGAUACUCAUUUGUUUAAAUAAAAAAACGAGCCCAAAAAGUGGCAUUCAAGGAACUUUAGGCCAGACAAAUGCUUGAGGUGUCUUGUUUAAACAGUCCGGCUGAUAGGCUUUCCACACUGAGCAGGCGCCAGUCCUCACGGAGCCUUGUGCAGUGCGCUUGUUCUGGAAAGGAAGGGUCGGAGGUAGAGAAAG
rnacentral:lncRNA from 1 species